rnacentral:lncRNA from 12 species
UGAGAAGGCAGAGGUAAAAGCCCAGCUUCUUGGCUUUGAAUCCUGCACCUUGAACCACAGGUCAGGCAAAUUGGUGGUCACCUUCAUGUCCCAACCUGCAGAGCAACCCACCUCAGGAAGCCUCGUCAUUCAGGGAGACGCCAGAGGCUAGAGGGCAGCCUGAAUGUGCCUCUGGUUUCAGCAGGACUGCCUGCCGCUGGGGCUUGCCUCGGAAAAUCAUUCUCAACUCACUCUGGCCUCCACCCUUCCUUUACCUGGGGUAACAUUUUGACUAAACAGCAACCAGGCACUGGCACUGGCUGAUUGUUCAGCAAAUCCAUUUCUGUUUCUUUUGGAGACACAUCAAGACUCUAUCUCCUAUGAGGUAUGGUCAUGCAGCUCAAUUCUGGCUUCCACUUCAAAGC